rnacentral:rRNA from 1 species
AAGGCUUGACAUGGGGAAGACUGGACGAGAGAUCGUCCUUCUCUAGCAAUAGAGCUUCCCACACAGGUGCUGCAUGGCUGUCGUCAGCUCGUGUCGUGAGAUGUUGGGUUAAGUCCCGCAACGAGCGCAACCCCCGUUUCUAGUUGCCAUCAUUCAGUUGGGCCCUCUAGAGAGACUGCCGCGAAUAACGCGGAGGAAGGUGGGGACGACGUCAAGUCAUCA